GCCAUUCCUCGCUAGUUCGCCGUUCUGGUUGUCGUGCUGCUCGCCCCUCUCUCUCGCGGUUCUGCUCGCUUCUCUGUCGCGGUUCUGCUCACGGUGCUGCUCGAAGGUAGCAAGCAUAAUCUAACUUAUGAAAAAUGAGGUGUUUGAAGGAUGCUGCUGAACCACCUUUGAACAAGAUGCAUCCCCAUGGGAACUCAUCAUGUCACUAAUGGAACUAUCUGGCUCCGUUUCUAGAUUAAUAAUGGACCGAAGCUCCAUUGAUUAUGGUUAUAGGGAUGGAGAAGGUGAUGCUGAAUGAACUCUAAAGAUGGUAGACACAGGAGUAAUUGGUAGCGAGAUUGCCAUGGCCGAAGCAAGUCUUAAAUCCCCUCUGUAGUAUAUGUUGUGUUUA